rfam:Paraphaeosphaeria sporulosa strain AP3s5-JAC2a unplaced genomic scaffold CC84scaffold_14, whole genome shotgun sequence.
GGUGAGAUGGCCGAGUUGGUUAUGGCGCCAGGUUAAGGAGCAUCUUAACAUCAUUUCCUGGUCACGAAAGUGGCGUGGGUUCGAGUCCCACUCUCAUCA